GAGAUCAAAGCAGGAGAUCAGAGAAAGGGGAGGAGGGGUGGGCAGCUCCUGGCAUCUUGGAAAAUACAAUGGCAAGCAGCGCAAUAACAGCAGCCGCGGGUCCUCUAUCUCCGGUGCAAGCAACCUGAGUUCCACUGCCCAGGGCGGCUCGUCAGCCCUGUCUCCACCAAACCAAGAAUUAUCCAUCUGCUAAGGUCGCUCUUUGCUGUCCAUUGGAAGCAGCUUUCUGUAUGAGAGGGCAAUUUGUUUCUAUCCCCUAGCGUGCACACAUUCACACACACGGCGCCCAACGUUUUGCACUUCUGCUCUUGUCCCAGUUGCGGUGUGAGACGACGAGGUUAGACAGCAGCUCUCCGGGGACAAGGCCAGCGGCUACUGUUUCUGUGUGGGCUGUGGGUAGUCCCUCCGCCUGCCGGCUCGGGAGGCUUGGCCUGGGCUACUCUUCCAGUCUGAGACGGACGACUGGAACCAGAAGGGGACUCGAUUCCUCAUCUGGGAGGAAUUAAGGAGAAGCAACAGGAUUCCCUCAAAGAAGGGCCAACAAGGACGAUGUUGCACAACAGCGCUCACAGGAGCGCCCUUGACAUAAGGAGAGACCCUAUGACUUAGUAGCAGAAAUCGAAGAGUCCCAAGUGGGUGGAGACAGUUCAGUAAGAGAGGACGUGGGGCUCUUGUCCAGGAUGAGUUACAGCAUGCCCUCUGUACAUGAUUUGUACCGCAGCACCACUACCAUCUCUGUGUCAGACCCAGGGUCAACUAUGGACAGGGCUCUACCAGAAACUGCUACCAUAAACCCUGAAACCACCAGCUUUAACAGCACCAAAAUCCCAGAUGUGGUCAGCAGUGGGCCCGGCCUGAGCACAAUGCUUCUCUCAUUUGGAAUCAUUACUAUGAUUGGGUUGGCUGUAGCAAUGGUUCUCUAUAUCAGGAAGAGGAAGAGGUUAGAGAAGCUGCGGCACCAGCUCAUGCCCAUGUACAAUUUCGACCCCACAGAAGAACAGGAUGAGCUGGAACAAGAGCUGCUGGAGCAUGGGAGAGAUGCUGCAUCUUCCCAGGCCACCCAGAGCAAGAUCCUCCUGAUGAACCAGGGAAUCGUCCAGAGACCCAGCCGCCUUGUGUUCACAGACGUCGCUAACGCUAUCAAUGCAUGAAUGACACCUGCCCCUGCUUUGGAUCACUGGGAGGACGGAGCCAACCAGUUACAUACCACAAGCAUGGAUGAGGAUACCGAGCUUACCGACCACCCCAUCAGUUUGUGCUGCGACUGAGGAGCAGUUCUGGGCAUUUACACAUUUCAGGCAGCAAAUGCUUGGUGGUGGCUGACUGCAGCAACUUUUGGUGCAUCCAUCGCUACCAAAGGGCCCUGAGCUGCCAUGCUCAGAUUUCAGGAGCGAUCCCGGAAAAAUGGCUGAGCACAUAUACCCAAUGCAUGCUGAAUCAGCAUGUUCCAAGCACAGUACUAGACACUGAAUACUCGAGCAGAAUAUACUCCCCCUCCAUGAGAAAAAAUAUCAACAGGUUGAGAUCGACAAUCUGGCUUGCAGAGUUUCUGCUGAAUGCUUCUCUCUGGGGGAGAGCAAACUGGGGUGAGACAAUCCACCUUGCAGAUCACAAGGAUGCAUGAUCAAGGAGUAUAGAAGCCAGGGCUUCUGUGGUUGGAACUUCUGCUCUGCCAGCCCACUUCUGGACAAGCCACAUUCUCAUGGACAUCCCCACUCAUACCAAUAAUAAAUCCUUCUGAGGUUGCAAAAAAAGUGGGGAUGAAUACUGCUUGAAGAAGCACUGAGAGUCUCUUGCUGAUAUACACUAGACUAUCUACCAGGAUUGCAGAGACAAUAGGAAUUGUAGACAAUUGAUAAGGGAAGCAAAAGGACACAAGGCGAACUCUACAGCCAGCGGAGUUAAGGACAACAAGGAGGUUUCUUAAUAUAUUGGUCUAUUACAGAUGGAAAUGAUAGAAUUAUCAACAACAUAGAUAAGGCAGAAGUGUUUAAUAAAUAUUUCUGUUCUGUAUUUGGGGAAAAAACAGAUUGUCAUGUCAUCUGAUGAUGACAUUCUUUCCAUUCUAUCUCAUGGGGAUAUUAAACAACAGCUACUAAAGUUAAAUAUUUUUAAAAUCAGCAAGUCCAGCUAACUUUCAUCCAAGAGUUUUAAAGAACACUGAGGAGCUUGUUGGAUUGCUAAUGUUGAUUUUCAAUUAGACUUCGAACACUGGGGAAGUUCCAGAAGACUGGAAGAAAGCAAAUGAUUUGCUAAUAUUUAAAAAGGGUAAACAGGGUGACCUGGGCAAUUAUAGACCUAUCAAUCUCAGGCAAGAUAAUGGAGUGGCUGCUAGGGGACUCAAUUAACUAAGAAAUAAAGGAAGGAAAUAUAAUUAAUACCAAUAAACAUGGGUUUACGGAAAGUAGAGCCUUUUAUUUUUGACAAGAUUACAAGUUUGGUUGAUAAAGGUAAUAGUAUUGAUGUAAUAGAAUUCUGUAAGCCAUUUGGCUUGGUACAGCAUGAUGUUUUGAUAAAAUCAAAAUGAUAUAAAAUAUAAUGGUACACAUUAAAUAGAUUAAAAACUG